AUGGCGAGCGAGGUAAUGGGCGAGUUGAGCAGAGCCAACCUUCCAGCAUGUGACAUGACAAACAUAGCUGAUGUGAUCUUUCUUUCAGCUUUGCACACAAAUGGUGUCAUAUCAAGAAUCGAAGGUCGCGUGGUCCCUAAGGGCAAACCCAGACUGCAAGAGAUCGGCCGCAAUGACAAAAAUGAGGCGAGACAUGGGAUCUCCUUAGCGUACUCCACAUUUGCACUGAAAUUGCCGACCAGAGAGGCUCCUGGUCGUCGGUCACCGUUUGGUUUGCGGCGGGAGGAUCUCAAGGCCGAUGCAAGCCAUCCGAUUUGCCCGGAUAGCUUGCGCGUGGGCGACCUACCUGGAGGGUACAUGACGGAUGGACUGCAUGCCAGCCCGAGGCCACUACCCUUGGGUGGUUCUCGACGCGCACCCACCCCCGCGUGGUGGCACAUCCGGACCCUCCUGGUGCCUCUCAGGGAUGAUCCGAUUCGUCGGAUCUUCCCGGACGGCUCGUACCCAGGAGACCCGGCUGGGAGGUCCAUGAUAGGUGGACCGCCGGGCCUGCCCGGGGCCACUCUCAUUGGGCGCCGCCCGUCAAUUCUUGCCAGCGCGCGGGAGUCUAAGGCCCGCCACCGGGCCAAAGCCACAUUGCUGGCUUCUAAUGUUGAGCAGGAAUACUCCGUGACAUCUCUCAUCCCUUGUAUUCUUGGAAAAAAGAUCACCAUGGAUGGGGAGUUGCCGGAAUACGACAGUGAUGUGCAAAAUAUGUUGGACCUCUUCAUCACAAGCGAGCAGGGCCACCUACUCCAGCACGAGAAUGGUGAUGAGAUGCAUGGCCUACUGGGAGCCACUACCAACAUGGGCAACACUGACGAUGCCAACGCUGCUGCUGCAGACAAAGGCAACAAUAACGAUGGAGAGAUCAAUAAAAGCCCUUAUCCAGAUGCGAAACUCCGGCAAGACCUUAGCGAGAGGCUUGGCAUGAGUGCCCUGCAGGUCAAGUUUUGGUUCCAAAACAAACGCUCCUUCAGCAAGGGCAAGAGGCAACUACAGGACACCAAAAAUCUUCAGGGAGAGAACCAGAUGCUAAAAGAUGAAAACCAAGCUAUCAAGUGGGUUGUUGAACACAAGACAUGCCUCAAAUGCGCAGGCGUGAUACUAAAAACUCAGGAUACCUCGGAGCACCAACGCCUGUGUACAGAGAAUAUGAGGCUCAAGGAAGAACUCCGCCGUGCCACCGCCUAUCUUAAAGAGGGUCUCUACCCUUUUACGUUGAUCCUUCUCGGCAACAAAAAGUGGUAUGAGAUCAUUGAUCCUGUUCUGGAGCCUUUGCUUGCCAUCCACACACACACUUCUCGGUGCGUGCACCUACAGAGUCAUGCCCGGAUCUGGAUGACACGGACCUGCGGCGAGCUACAAGUAGUAGUACAGAAUUCGGUGAACCGGAUGGUCAUGCCCAAGAAUUAUGCCAAAUUGGCUCCUCUGUCGCGUAUGAAUCGGCAAGUGUUGGGCUACUGCAAGGCCGUGGAGCAGAAAGCAGCAGCCAGUUUCUGGCUCAGCGGUUGGCAGAAAGCAGUCAGAGCGAAAUUUUGCCAAAUUGACAUGGAUCGGAUCGACUCAGCGGUUGGCAGAAAGCAGUCAGAGCGAGCAGCCAGCUUCUGGCUGCAGUGCGUGCAUUCUUAA
rnacentral:rRNA from 1 species